rnacentral:hammerhead_ribozyme from 6 species
CCGUGAAACCUGAUUCCCUCUUGGAGUUAGGUCUGCCGGGCGUGGUUGUCCGGUACUGAGGAGCAGCCAAUG